rnacentral:lncRNA from 1 species
GCUGUGUUCUUAUAGGUCGGGUGGCCUCUCGUGCCCUGCCCAUGUAGCGAUGGAGCUUUUGCAGGGGAUGUCCUGGAGAAUCAAGGAAUAUUCCAUUCGGCUGUGACCUUUAGGAAGGCAUCCAUCUGGACAUUUGCAAAGUGGAUUCUCAUCUUUCAGUCUGUAUCAUUUCAAUAUCAUCUGCUACAGAGAGGCAAUUAGAUAAGGAAACAGGAGUUUCCGAUCACCCCCACCCCCCGAUGGCCGUGACUUCCACGGAUGGUUCUGUGUGAUCCAGGUGUUCCGUGAAGUGUGGGUUCACCAGGAGAACAGCUUCGCCUGACUGUAAGCAACAGGACGGCUCCCAUCUGAUGACAUAACAACUUGGACAGAUUGCAAGAGAAUAGUGCAAAAGGCUGGUCUCAAAAUGCUCCAGGCUGAAUGCUUCCAUUUGUGUAAUAUUCUUCAAGUGACACAAUUACAGAGAGGAAGCUUUUAAAGAAUAGCAGAUCAGCUUCAACUCCCAUAAGUAAAAGGACUUAAGUUCUGAGAAGGUGGGGGAUCAGGGGCGGCCAGUUCCAGGCUCAGUGGAGGUAGCAGGUGUUUCUGCUCAGCCUCGGUGGAUCUUCUGCAUCGGCUUGGUCUUGUGACCCCAUACCCCCACUUUGUGGCACCUCCUGUCCUGGCUCUGACCCAUUGCCUAGCCCCCAUCUGGGCUCUGAUCCAUCCCAGGUCUCUCCCAGCAUGGACACGUGAAAGCGAGUGGUGCCCACUUGCAGCUCUGAGGUUCCCGGAUAGAGAGGGAGGCUCUUUCCCAGCGCUCCCUGUGCAAGUCCUAGUCUGGUUCUGAUUGGCCACAGCGGGUCACAUGUUUGUCCCAGAACCAAUCACUGGAAACGGGAUGGAGUCGCUUGAUUGGUCAGGCCUGCAUCACAUGACCCCCUUGUGGGGUCAGCACCCAACCACAGAAAGGGCGUGGUGGGGGUGGGGGGUCUCUGUGAAGAGAAGAGGUGCCUGCAGCAGAGCCUGCCCUGUCCCCUCCGUGGUUCCACAUCCGUGCCUCUGAGGACCUUGGACCCCCAAAGCGAGGCCCGAAGGUGAGGGACGGCCGGUGUCAUCGUUGGAGCUUCCUAAGAGUCCCAGAGGCUGAUGCACCUCCCAGACUCUCCUCGGCCCGGCUCCCUGGGCCCUGCUCCAGGGGCUUCAUUGCUCCCUGCCCCGGGUCACCCCUCGGCUCACCGUCUCUCAGGUGUGGAAUAUCCUGCUCCAAUCAAAGCCAUGUCACCUGCGUUGUCCAGUGAAACAUCAGUGGACAGGCGCUGCCCGGGCUCCAGGGAGCUCCUCACUGAGGCUCACUCCCUGUGCCUCUGCCAUCAGCACAGGGGGACAUGCCUGGCUGCCUGUGGGACCAGGGAGGACGCGCGGUGCGGGAGCAGAGCCAGCCACACUGCCGCUGCUGCACUGUUCAUCUGAGUGGCGCAAGGGCAAGGAGAGGACCGUGCAUCCUCAGUGACAGUGGUGCCUCACCAUGCUUUAGAGAAGCCUGUCCUUGCCCCCGAGCUGCUCUCCAUGGAGUCCUGUUUGCGCACCGGAGGUCCCUGUGAAGGAGCGUCCAUCAGGUCUGGACGUGCACCUGACCUCGCUGACUGAGAACGUGGUGACUAAGGAACGACGUGCGCAGCAGGCCGGAGGCUGCCUGAUUCUGACGCGUGUUCAUGGAGGCCCGUGUGCAGCGAUGAGCCCCAGCCAGCAUCCGGGUGAUCCCCAGCCAGCAUCCGGGUGAUCCCCAGCCAGCAUCCGGGUAAUCCCCAGCCAGCAUCCGGGUGAUCCCCAGCCAGCAUCCGGGAACUUGGCUUUUGGAACGUUUCCUGAGUGACUGGUUGACCAGGUCGUUUGUGCACUCAGGGAACUAAGCCGUUCCCUACCAGCUGCCUGGACUCUGCAGUGUGAUCAGCGCACGCCUGACUUCUGUCACCACAGUGGCUGCACAGGCAGAGGGUGCCUAUGUGACCAGCCCCCUGUAGAAGCCCCGCACUCGGAGACCUACACGGCCUCCCUGGGAAGCGACACUCUGGAUGUGUUGCUGACUUGGUUGCUGGAGCAAGACGCGUGUUUGGUGGACUCCCCUGGGUCUUUCUCCCCUGCUGAUCUUGCUACGUGGCCUUUCUCUGUAAUAAGCCAUGGAGUCCACUCUCUAAUCACGCAGUGUGUGGUGGCCCCAGGACCCCUGAGACGUGGAGCUGGCAGGGAAGACAGGCAGCUGCCCGAGGCGCUUGAGGCAGAGAAGGAUGGGGAAUAGCCUGGCUCCUCCCCGCCCCCCAUCACCCACCAGGGCCUCUCACUGUCUGAGCUCAGCCUGAGGCUAGCUGACCAGGGGUGUGGGAAGCCCAACUCUACAAAUUCGCAGCAGAUCAGCCCCCAACCCCCACAAAUUCCCAGCAGAUCAGGAAGGGCGGGGCAUGGAUGAAAGGGCAUCAGGGCCACAGGCCCAGGACAGGCACGUGGGUUGCUCUUGGAGGCAUUUGCAGGUACACUAAGAAGCUCCAGGAAGGACACACACACACACAUAUACACACACAUACACAUACAUAUGCACACACAUACAUACACAGACACACACACACACGUACACAGACACACAGACACACAUACACACACACAUUCCCCUGCCCUCCCAUCUCCAGACCUUGCGGUCCCCAUGAGCUUCCCGAUUCCUGGCACUGCCGGGCUGUCCUGAAGGCUCUUUUGGCCAGAAAUGGGCAGGGAUCUGAGAGCACCUGCUGUCGGGUGAGUCCUACUGUACUCAUGUCAGAGAUUAGGACGAGAAGACACAGGAGUGAGCUGGGCUGGAGUCUCAGCUGCAGAUGACAAGGAGAGCACAGUGGAAAGCCUGGCCCACCUCCCCUCCCCACUGGGCCCCUGGGUGGGAUACCACCAUUUCCAGAAUGGGCUGUGGGUUGCGCGGGCUCCUGAGGUUCGCUGAACCGGGGCUCUGAGGGGUCCCCAAAGUGCUUCCUCCCUGUCCUGUGCCCCCACCCCAUGGGGUGGAAGAGCCGCCCACAGGCCUGGGUUCCGCCAUGCACAAGGGAACUGGACCUUGGUGACUAUUCAGGAGGGAGUCUCCGGGCUGCCCUUCCCAUGACCACAUGUCAAUCCCCUUUGGCCCCAAGGGAAUUUCUCAUAACCCUCCCUUGGAGGAGCCCCCUCGGUGCCAGCCCACCCUCAUCACUCUCUCCUGAACCCCCAUGAACAGACUCCGUGGCGCCUCCACCUGCCUUUGUCCCGCCAACCCUCCCUGUCCAGAGCAGCCAUGGGGCCUCUUACAGUUUUAAGUCUGUCUGCAUCACGCGUUUCCUCAGAGUCUCCUCAGGCUGGGUGAGUCCUCGUCCUAAUAGGCCCUGACUGCCUGGCGCUGCCUACCUCUCCUGCCUCAGCAGGAGCUGCCCACACCUGUCCUCAGCCAACCAAGCUCCUAACCGUCGGGGAUCCUGGGACUCGGGCCUGCCUUUGCUGGACACUUCCGUCAGAUUUCUACCUGGCCACGUUCCACUCUUUCUUAAGGAUUCUGCUUAAAAGUCACGUCCUCUAAGGCUCCUCGCUGGCCUUCCCCACCACAUUGAUGUCCAGAUGAAGAAACAAAAGUUCUGAGAGGUCUUCAGGAACUUGUAUAUAAUUACAGAGGUAAUAAGGAUUGGUUGGAAAUGAAACCAAGGGCUACCUCCUGUCCCCAAAGCUCAUGCUCUUAACCCCUUCACCAUGAGUUUCUGGUUCUAUUCCUAGACUCUAGGCAUCAUAUACUCCUGUUAAUACUUUCUGUCUUCAAGCAAGUCCAUUUACAUUUAUAUUAUAAAAGGUUAAAUUGUUCAUGAAUAUAGCUUCUAGAUUCAGACCACCUGGAUUCAAAUUUAGACUCCACAUAUACUGGCUGUGAGAUAUUGCCCAGUGUGCAUAAUCUUGCCAAGGCCUCAAUUUCUUCACUUAUAGUAUAGGGAAGACAGUAUGGCCUACCUAGUGACAAUGGAUGGUUGUGAGGAUUAAACGAGAUAAAUCAUGUAAAGCAUUUGCCUGACUCUUAUUAAGUGUUCAAUAAUACUCUCAUAGAGUGUAAACUCCUUUGAAAUUAGGCAUAAGACUUUAGGUAUAUAAAGAGCCUGAACAGAGAUGUACUUGAAUUCACGUCUUUAUAAAACACAAAAAUUAUUGCAACAAUCUUCAAAUAGUCUUCAAGCCUUCUCCACACAUUGUUGUAAUCUAUGUAAAGGAAAAUAAAAAAAUCUCAGCCAGGAGCGGUGGCUGAAGCCUGUAAUCCCAGCACUUUG